GAUGAACGCUGGCGGCGUGCCUAAUACAUGCAAGUCGAGCGAACGGACGAGAAGCUUGCUUCUCUGAUGUUAGCGGCGGACGGGUGAGUAACACGUGGAUAACCUACCUAUAAGACUGGGAUAACUUCGGGAAACCGUAGCUAAUACCGGAUAAUAUUUUGAACCGCAUGGUUCGAAAGUGAAAGACGGUCUUGCUGUCACUUAUAGAUGGAUCCGCGCUGUAUUAGCUAGUUGGUAAGGUAACGGCUUACCAAGGCAACGAUGCAUAGCCGACCUGAGAGGGUGAUCGGCCACACUGGAACUGAGACACGGUCCAGACUCCUACGGGAGGCAGCAGUAGGGAAUCUUCCGCAAUGGGCGAAAGCCUGACGGAGCAACGCCGCGUGAGUGAUGAAGGUCUUCGGAUCGUAAAACUCUGUUAUUAGGGAAGAACAUAUGUGUAAGUAACUGUGCACAUCUUGACGGUACCUAAUCAGAAAGCCACGGCUAACUACGUG
rnacentral:rRNA from 1 species